UUGUGUGUUUGUAGGAUGAUGAUACAAACUAUCACAUGGAUGUGAUAGCGGGUCUAGCCAACAUGAGGGCGAGGAACUACAGCAUACCUGAAGUCGACAAGCUGAAAGCAAAGUUCAUUGCAGGGAGAAUCAUCCCAGCCAUUGCGACCUCAACAGCCAUGGCCACUGGUCUGGUCUGCCUCGAGCUCUACAAGGUCCUCAAGACCCAAAGGCAGCAGCUGAAGCUAUUGACAAUGUGAUAGUCCCAGACUUUGAGCCAAGAAAAGAUGCAAAGAUUGUGACAGAUGAGAAAGCCACCACUUUAACCACUGCUUCGGUGGACGACGCUGCAGUCAUCAACGACCUCAUUGCUAAGCUCGAGAAGUGUAGGCAUAACUUGUCUCCAGAUUUCAGGAUGAAACCAAUUCAAUUCGAAAAGGUAAAUAUUCUCUGAUGCUAUUCUCACUGAAUGAAAUCUAAUUGAUAACAAAGGUUGAAUCUUAACCAAGGAGUGUUGUUAUUUUGAAUCAUAUUGUGUGUUUGUAGGAUGAUGAUACAAACUAUCACAUGGAUGUGAUAGCGGGUCUAGCCAACAUGAGGGCGAGGAACUACAGCAUACCUGAAGUCGACAAGCUGAAAGCAAAGUUCAUUGCAGGGAGAAUCAUCCCAGCCAUUGCGACCUCAACAGCCAUGGCCACUGGUCUGGUCUGCCUCGAGCUCUACAAGGUCCUCGAUGGAGGACACAAAGUGGAAGCCUACAGGAACACAUUUGCCAACCUGGCGCUUCCCCUCUUCUCCAUGGCUGAACCGGUUCCGCCAAAGGUGGUGA
rnacentral:lncRNA from 1 species